rnacentral:ncRNA from 1 species
AAAUUUUUCUAUGACUAUAGAUUUUUUUCGUUUCUGGUUCAGAAAGCUUUUGAUUAAUUUGGGCUUUAAUGUAUUUCAAAGUAAAAUUACAUGUUAAUACGUAGUAUUAAUGGCGAGACUCCUGAGGGAGCAGUGCCAGUCGAAGACAGGGGCCCCAACACAGAAGCUGACAUAUAGUCAGCUUACAACAAUGUGCCGGUUGGGGUGGCUGAGACGGCACCCUAGGAAGGGACCCGUCAUCAAAAAUUCUAUUUAUAGAAUUUUACAGUAAUGUGCCAGACGGGCAAAGCGAAGCCAUUCAAUACGAAGUAUUGUAUAAAUAGAGAACAGCAG